rnacentral:rRNA from 1 species
CAGCAGCCGCGGGAAUACAGAGGGUGCGAGCGUUAAUCGGAUUUACUGGGCGUAAAGCGUGCGUAGGCGGCUUCUUAAGUCGGAUGUGAAAUCCCUGAGCUUAACUUAGGAAUUGCAUUCGAUACUGGGAAGCUAGAGUAUGGGAGAGGAUGGUAGAAUUCCAGGUGUAGCGGUGAAAUGCGUAGAGAUCUGGAGGAAUACCGAUGGCGAAGGCAGCCAUCUGGCCUAAUACUGACGCUGAGGUACGAAAGCAUGGGGAGCAAACAGGAUUAGAUACCCCUGUAGUCCCUGUCUCAUAUAC